AAAUCUGAUCAUACGGUUAAUAUGUUAAUUUUAUGAAAAAGAAAAAGAAAAAAAAAACGAAAAAAAAAUACACGAAAAGGACAGAAUAAAAAAUUAAAUGGAUCAAAAUCUUUUGACUUUUAUUCGGAGAAUGGAAUUCCUCGCGCGUGCGUUUGUGUACACGACUAUUAAGUGCUUACAUUUAUGCCUGUCAUAAUUGGCUUUGUUAAAUGAAGAGAGUGUCCGAGGAAUUAGCUUGUGAGUAAUAGCACGGCUAUUUAUUAACACGCGAAACGAGGUGCCACGAGCAAGACGAGAACGAAAACCAUGUGCUUCGUGUUUUCUGUUCGAAGGGCUGCUAUUUUUCCUUUGGAUAUGACGAGACUUUUCCAAUAAACACUUUGUAACACUUGCUGCUAUUUUUCUUUUGGAUAUGACGAGACAUUUUUCAAUAAACACAUUGUGACACAUGCUCGAUGGGGAGAUGUCGAGGUUGAGCUGGCACCGAGACUGGUCGGACCUUUUGUAGAGCCGAAAUAUAAAGCUAAUCUCUCCGCGGUAUUCCAUUCCCGCGAGCAUGGAAUGCAGGACUAAAAUGGUGAACCACCGACCACCCGACGAAGUAUUUCAUCGCAGAGAAGGAAGACUAAGACGAAGACGAAGACGAAGACGAAGAAGAAGAAGAAGACGAAGAAGAAGAAGACGAAGAAGAAGAAGAAGAAGAAGAAGAAGAAGAAGAAUAAGCAGAAGAAAGAGGAGGUGGAAGAGGAAGAGAAAGAUUGGUAGUGAGAGAGGGAGAAAGAGAAAGAGAGAGAGAGAGAGAGAGAGAGAGAGAUAGGACGGAGGUAGAUUUACUAUCAGAGGGAUUUCAUUCCUCCGGGGGUUUAGGCUUUCCAAGCAAUCCCAUUACCAGAGCCAAAUGUGAUUUAGGAUCUUGGCCUUAUAGCGUACACUGGCUUAACCAUGCGGGGACUCCUUCGCAUCUUGGGCACCAUGGGCGUUUCAUAUCUCUCCUUGGGAGAGUCCUCCGAGUAGCCCUCCAACAUUACCAUGGCCGUUCAACUUAAGAUCCUAUCUCGAUGGCGGAAAGAAAGAACGAUCGAAUGCAAAUGUCCGAUGUUCGACCGAAAGAUGGCCGUGUAGAUCGAGACUCCACACUAUCCACAGGUUAACCACCAAUCAUCUUUUUUUCCUCUCAUUUAUCUUGAUUCUUCAUGUUUCUAUUAGAAACUCGUUUGCUUUUUUUUUCUUCCUUUUUUCUUGAAUUUUUUUUCUUUUUUUUUCCCCUCUUUUUCUUGCUUUUUUUUUCAUUCUCUCUCUCUCUCUCUCUCUCUCGCGCGCGCGCACAACGGAAUUUUUAGUAACAGGCAGAUAAUUUUUUUUUUUUUUUUAUUUAUAUUGCGUCCAACAGUAUGAUCAUGUUUCGUACAGACAGUAUCUUUUUUUCCUUUCAUCAUCUUUUUUCUUUCUUUUCUUUUGGUUUUUUUUUUUAUAUAACGCAUGACAGAUAAUUAUAUUAAUGUUAACAAAAAAAAAAAAAAAAGAAAA